AGGUGCCCCACGCGGGCGCUGAGGUUGGUGGUGAGGGCGUAGCGGGGCUCCCCGUCCGUCUGCGCGAUGCCGUUGUCGAUGGCGUCGAUCUCCUCCACGAAGUUCUCAUAGAGCUUAUCGUAGAGUGCAGUCACAGCGGGACUGUCCUCUGGCUGCCCCAGAAGCCCAGCAAGGAUUUCAGAGCCAAAGUGGCAAUAGACCAACCCAGCGCUGCUCAGCUUGGUGGUCCAGGGCUUGCUGGGCUGGAGGCUUUGCAUGGACUGGGUGAAAGACCUCUGGUGAUGGUCGUAGCGGUGCCUCUCGGGGUCAUAUUCGCCCCCCACAUCCACCACCACAUCGCACUGGGCCAGGCGCUGGGGGUCCCGGGUCCGCACCACCUCCGCGUCCCGGUAGCGCGGCAGCAGGCGCAGCAGGUAGCACGCCAGCGCCUCGUCGCAGUGGAAGGUGCCGUCGUGGGUGCCGAUGCGCAGAGGCGGCUCCGUUCGGGCCCGUUUGGGUCCGGCACCGCUCCCGGCGACGGCGGCGGCCAUGAGGGGAACGGCGCGCAGAGCGGCGCGCAUCACUGCGCACGCGCGGCGCCGCCUCC
rnacentral:lncRNA from 1 species